CUUUUCUCUUUUACUUGGAGGUAAAUCAAUCUGACCUACCACUUAAUGAAAUCUCUUUUUUACAGGAUGAAGGAAGCAGAUGGGAAAAACAGAGGAAGAAAAGAAAAAGGAGACUUUCGUCUUCAUGUGUAAAUUUUCUGGAGUUUAAAGACACAUGACUUCGAUGUUACUGAGAUUGUGUCAUAAUCAUCAAACGGAGCCCGUGCCAAACAAACCAGAUGGAGCUUUCAAUCAACAAGCUGCAUUUAUUAUUGAUAUCUGUGGCUUAUUUGUUAUCCAUGCACCUUUUAACAGCAUAAGUUUUCAGAUUCUGCA
rnacentral:lncRNA from 1 species